ACGAACGCUGGCGGCGUGCUUAACACAUGCAAGUCGAGCGGUAAGGCCCUUUCGGGGGUACACGAGCGGCGAACGGGUGAGUAACACGUGGGUGACCUGCCUUUAGCUCUGGGAUAAGCCUGGGAAACCGGGUCUAAUACCGGAUAUGACUCCGCGGCGCAUGUUGUGGGGUGGAAAGCCUUGUGCGGCUGGAGAUGGGCCCGCGGCCUAUCAGCUUGUUGGUGGGGUGAUGGCCUACCAAGGCGACGACGGGUAGCCGGCCUGAGAGGGCGACCGGCCACACUGGGACUGAGACACGGCCCAGACUCCUACGGGAGGCAGCAGUGGGGAAUCUUGCGCAAUGGGCGAAAGGCCUGACGCAGCGACGCCGCGUGAGGGAUGACGGCCUC
rnacentral:rRNA from 1 species